GACGUAGGGCGCGAGCGUUGUCCGGAUUUAUUGGGCGUAAAGAGCUCGUAGGCGGCUUGUUACGUCGAAUGUGAAAUCUUAGGGCUCAACCCUGACAUUGCAUUCGAUACGGGCAGGCUAGAGUUCGGUAGGGGAGACUGGAAUUCCUGGUGUAGCGGUGAAAUGCGCAGAUAUCAGGAGGAACACCGGUGGCGAAGGCGGGUCUCUGGGCCGAUACUGACGCUGAGGAGCGAAAGCGUGGGGAGCGAACAGG
rnacentral:rRNA from 1 species